AAAUUGAAGAGUUUGAUCAUGGCUCAGAUUGAACGCUGGCGGCAGGCCUAACACAUGCAAGUCGAACGGUAACAGGAAACAGCUUGCUGUUUCGCUGACGAGUGGCGGACGGGUGAGUAAUGUCUGGGAAACUGCCCGAUGGAGGGGGAUAACUACUGGAAACGGUAGCUAAUACCGCAUAACGUCGCAAGACCAAAGAGGGGGACCUUCGGGCCUCUUGCCAUCGGAUGUGCCCAGAUGGGAUUAGCUAGUAGGUGGGGUAAAGGCUCACCUAGGCGACGAUCCCUAGCUGGUCUGAGAGGAUGACCAGCCACACUGGAACUGAGACACGGUCCAGACUCCUACGGGAGGCAGCAGUGGGGAAUAUUGCACAAUGGGCGCAAGCCUGAUGCAGCCAUGCCGCGUGUAUGAAGAAGGCCUUCGGGUUGUAAAGUACUUUCAGCGGGGAGGAAGGGAGUAAAGUUAAUACCUUUGCUCAUUGACGUUACCCGCAGAAGAAGCACCGGCUAACUCCGUGCCAGCAGCCGCGGUAAUACGGAGGGUGCAAGCGUUAAUCGGAAUUACUGGGCGUAAAGCGCACGCAGGCGGUUUGUUAAGUCAGAUGUGAAAUCCCCGGGCUCAACCUGGGAACUGCAUCUGAUACUGGCAAGCUUGAGUCUCGUAGAGGGGGGUAGAAUUCCAGGUGUAGCGGUGAAAUGCGUAGAGAUCUGGAGGAAUACCGGUGGCGAAGGCGGCCCCCUGGACGAAGACUGACGCUCAGGUGCGAAAGCGUGGGGAGCAAACAGGAUUAGAUACCCUGGUAGUCCACGCCGUAAACGAUGUCGACUUGGAGGUUGUGCCCUUGAGGCGUGGCUUCCGGAGCUAACGCGUUAAGUCGACCGCCUGGGGAGUACGGCCGCAAGGUUAAAACUCAAAUGAAUUGACGGGGGCCCGCACAAGCGGUGGAGCAUGUGGUUUAAUUCGAUGCAACGCGAAGAACCUUACCUGGUCUUGACAUCCACGGAAGUUUUCAGAGAUGAGAAUGUGCCUUCGGGAACCGUGAGACAGGUGCUGCAUGGCUGUCGUCAGCUCGUGUUGUGAAAUGUUGGGUUAAGUCCCGCAACGAGCGCAACCCUUAUCCUUUGUUGCCAGCGGUCCGGCCGGGAACUCAAAGGAGACUGCCAGUGAUAAACUGGAGGAAGGUGGGGAUGACGUCAAGUCAUCAUGGCCCUUACGACCAGGGCUACACACGUGCUACAAUGGCGCAUACAAAGAGAAGCGACCUCGCGAGAGCAAGCGGACCUCAUAAAGUGCGUCGUAGUCCGGAUUGGAGUCUGCAACUCGACUCCAUGAAGUCGGAAUCGCUAGUAAUCGUGGAUCAGAAUGCCACGGUGAAUACGUUCCCGGGCCUUGUACACACCGCCCGUCACACCAUGGGAGUGGGUUGCAAAAGAAGUAGGUAGCUUAACCUUCGGGAGGGCGCUUACCACUUUGUGAUUCAUGACUGGGGUGAAGUCGUAACAAGGUAACCGUAGGGGAACCUGCGGUUGGAUCACCUCCUU
rnacentral:rRNA from 1 species